rnacentral:lncRNA from 1 species
UUGUUUCUCUAACACACAAGGCUCCCCCUUGAUCAACGCUCCCCCUAAAUUCAUGAUUUUUAGAGAGUCUUUUCUAGCUGCAUUUUGUUAGAGAAAAACAAACACACAAACACAUAUUUCUUCUCCCCCUUUGUCAUUAGCAAAAAGGAAGAAACUUAAAAAAGAAAAGCAGACAAGCAUACACACAUUAUGUGAUCAUUAGAUAAGCAUUCAAGCACAUGCACUAACCAUAAACACAUAUACCAAAAAUAUUAAAAAUUCUGGAUUUUUAAAGCUAAUGCAGAAGUGCUGUUUUGGAGGCGUUAACCUGUUAACCGAUUCCGUUAACCUGUUAACGGGCUAAAAUUUUCAAAAAAUAAUUAAAAAAAAAAAAACAGCAGCUCUGUUUGAAACAAUGGGAAAAGAUUUUUACAAAAAGUUUUCACAGAGUUUUAGCACUUAUCAAUACGCAACUUUCGAUCAAAAAAUAUUUUAAAACGGAUAAUUUUUGGAUAUGCGAAAGUAAGAAAAACUAAAAACGGCGAAACAGAAGUGCUAGCAUUGCAUAACAUAAAAAUUGAAAAUCA